rnacentral:tRNA from 1 species
GCGGGAAUAGCUUAGUGGCAGAGCAUCAUUCUGCCAAUGGUUAGAGCACGCACUUAUUAUUUAUUUUGACAAACACGCUUCAUAUAAAUAGUAAGUGUGGAGACACGAGUUCGAAUCUUGUUUCCCGCU